AAAGUCGUAACAAGGUUUCCGUAGGUGAACCUGCGGAAGGAUCAUUACAAAUCCAACGUCUCCUUGCCGAGACCACGUUGAACUGUUCCCGGCACGCGGAGCGCGCGGCUGGCCGGAGAUCUUCUCCGCGCCGCUGCGCCUUCCCGUGCCGACCCCUUUUACAACCUAGUGUGACCGUUGCUGCAUAUGUAUGUCUUUUGUUAACACACACAACAAGAAACAACUUAUAACAAUGGAUCUCUAGGCUCUU
rnacentral:misc_RNA from 1 species